rnacentral:rRNA from 1 species
UUAAGCAUAUCAAUAAGCGGAGGAAAAGAAACCAACAGGGAUUGCCCUAGUAACGGCGAGUGAAGCGGCAACAGCUCAAAUUUGAAAUCUGGCGUCUUUGGCGUCCGAGUUGUAAUUUGCAGAGGGCGCUUUGGCAUUGGCAGCGGUCCAAGUUCCUUGGAACAGGACGUCACAGAGGGUGAGAAUCCCGUACGUGGUCGCUAGCCUUUACCGUGUAAAGCCCCUUCGACGAGUCGAGUUGUUUGGGAAUGCAGCUCUAAAUGGGAGGUAAAUUUCUUCUAAAGCUAAAUACUGGCCAGAGACCGAUAGCGCACAAGUAGAGUGAUCGAAAGAUGAAAAGCACUUUGGAAAGAGAGUUAAAAAGCACGUGAAAUUGUUGAAAGGGAAGCGCUUGCAGCCAGACUUGCCUGUAGUUGCUCAUCCGGGUUUCUACCCGGUGCACUCUUCUAUAGGCAGGCCAGCAUCAGUUUGGGCGGUUGGAUAAAGGUCUCUGUCAUGUACCUCCUUUCGGGGAGAACUUAUAGGGGAGACGACAUGCAACCAGCCCGGACUGAGGUCCGCGCAUCUGCUAGGAUGCUGGCGUAAUGGCUGUAAGCGGCCCGUCUUGAAACACGGACCAAGGAGUCUAACAUCUAUGCGAGUGUUUGGGUGUCAAGCCCGAGCGCGUAAUGAAAGUGAACGGAGGUGGGAACCUUUCGGGGUGCACCAUCGACCGAUCCUGAUGUCUUCGGAUGGAUUUGAGUAAGAGCAUAGCUGUUGGGACCCGAAAGAUGGUGAACUAUGCUUGAAUAGGGUGAAGCCAGAGGAAACUCUGGUGGAGGCUCGCAGCGGUUCUGACGUGCAAAUCGAUCGUCAAAUUUGGGCAUAGGGGCGAAAGACUAAUCGAACUAUCUAGUAGCUGGUUCCUGCCGAA